AGAGUUUGAUCCUGGCUCAGGAUGAACGCUAGCGGCAGGCCUAACACAUGCAAGUCGAGGGGCAUCGGGAUUGAAGCUUGCUUCAAUUGCCGGCGACCGGCGCACGGGUGCGUAACGCGUAUGUAACCUACCUAUAACAGGGGCAUAACACUGAGAAAUUGGUACUAAUUCCCCAUAAUAUUCGGAGAGGCAUCUCUCCGGGUUGAAAACUCCGGUGGUUAUAGAUGGACAUGCGUUGUAUUAGCUAGUUGGUGAGGUAACGGCUCACCAAGGCAACGAUACAUAGGGGGACUGAGAGGUUAACCCCCCACACUGGUACUGAGACACGGACCAGACUCCUACGGGAGGCAGCAGUGAGGAAUAUUGGUCAAUGGACGCAAGUCUGAACCAGCCAUGCCGCGUGCAGGAAGACGGCUCUAUGAGUUGUAAACUGCUUUUGUACGAGGGUAAACGCAGAUACGUGUAUCUGCCUGAAAGUAUCGUACGAAUAAGGAUCGGCUAACUCCGUGCCAGCAGCCGCGGUAAUACGGAGGAUCCAAGCGUUAUCCGGAUUUAUUGGGUUUAAAGGGUGCGUAGGCGGUUUGAUAAGUUAGAGGUGAAAUCCCGGGGCUUAACUCCGGAACUGCCUCUAAUACUGUUAGACUAGAGAGUAGUUGCGGUAGGCGGAAUGUAUGGUGUAGCGGUGAAAUGCUUAGAGAUCAUACAGAACACCGAUUGCGAAGGCAGCUUACCAAACUAUAUCUGACGUUGAGGCACGAAAGCGUGGGGAGCAAACAGGAUUAGAUACCCUGGUAGUCCACGCAGUAAACGAUGAUAACUCGUUGUCGGCGAUACACAGUCGGUGACUAAGCGAAAGCGAUAAGUUAUCCACCUGGGGAGUACGUUCGCAAGAAUGAAACUCAAAGGAAUUGACGGGGGCCCGCACAAGCGGAGGAACAUGUG
rnacentral:rRNA from 1 species